GAUGAACGCUGGCGGCGUGCCUAAUACAUGCAAGUCGAGCGAACAGACGAGGAGCUUGCUCCUCUGACGUUAGCGGCGGACGGGUGAGUAACACGUGGAUAACCUACCUAUAAGACUGGGAUAACUUCGGGAAACCGGAGCUAAUACCGGAUAAUAUAUUGAACCGCAUGGUUCAAUAGUGAAAGACGGUUUUGCUGUCACUUAUAGAUGGAUCCGCGCCGCAUUAGCUAGUUGGUAAGGUAACGGCUUACCAAGGCAACGAUUCGUAGCCGACCUGAGAGGGUGAUCGGCCACACUGGAACUGAGACACGGUCCAGACUCCUACGGGAGGCAGCAGUAGGGAAUCUUCCGCAAUGGGCGAAAGCCUGACGGAGCAACGCCGCGUGAGUGAUGAAGGUCUUCGGAUCGUAAAACUCUGUUAUUAGGGAAGAACAAAUGUGUGAGUAACUAUGCACGUCUUGACGGUACCUAAUCAGAAAGCCACGGCUAACUACGUG
rnacentral:rRNA from 1 species